rnacentral:misc_RNA from 1 species
GCAGGCGGAGAGCAAGCACUGGCACACUCUUGACUCUCCGGCGCGGGGUAUCUGGCUACCUAUUCUCGAUGAGGAGAGUGUGCAAGAGGCUAGAGGGAGAGCGCGGUCCGGGCUCGUGGCGGUGAUCGCGAUUUUUAACACUUUUGGGCUACGUCGUCCCCCGUUUGUUCGCGCCGUUGUUUUUUUUUUUUUUUCGUUCAAAGGACCGAGCGAAUGAGAUAAAGAGAGUGAGCGGAAUAUUGUGCGACAGUGUGCGGCGAGCGAGUGCGAUAAGGCGGAAGAGUACAACACGGAUGGAUAGAUAAAGAGAAAGCGAGCGAGAAAAAGUAGCGGCCGGUUGCCCUCCUGGCUUGUGUGCGCCAUUUGUGACUGCCGGGUAAAUUGACCGAGUGAGGAAAAAUCAGUGUGUCCUCGAAUAAUCAACGCUUGACAAAACAACUGAAUAACGAAACACCCAACAGUCCAGGGUCAUCUUCUUGUCGGGUGUUCUCGUGUCCUUUAACGCUUUUUUUUUCUCGCCGCCUCGUAACGAACUGUCGCCGCGGCGACGAAACGCGCUCUCGGGCUUUUCGCCACGCGUGUUGAAUAUUUUUUCUCUCUUUUUGUGUUGAAAAAAAAAAAAAACGAAAAUAAAAGGCAUAACGUUCCCGUUCGGAGUGGACGAAUAACAUACGCGUUUCGUAUGUUUCUAUAUCUCUCUACGUGCAUAGAUAAAAAAAGAGCUCGCAGUGCGGACGGGCCCCGAUCGAACGUGUUGGUGCGAAGAAUAAAACAAAAAGGUCCGCGCUACUAUUUAUGUAGCUUGAAAAGAAGAGAAAACAAACGAAUCGAAGGAGGGACGAUCGUUGAAGAAAUAAGAAUCCGGAUUAUCGAGGAUUACCAGCAAACCAGGGGGCACUGCGGCCGGAGAGUGGGGCAGAACGAGGAUUACGAGAGAAUUAAAUUCGACAAGUUUACGUUAAUCGCGUGAAUUUUCGUAUUUCGCGAGAGCCGCGAAUUGCUUUCGUUGCCCGUGCGUUGUUGUUUGUUUGUUUUUUCCCUUUCAACUUUUUUUCGUGCCUCGUUCCUCGAUUCUUCUAUUCCAUCUUUUCAUUUUCCUUUCAAUAUUUUCAUCCGUAACAGUCGAAUCGAGCGAGAGAGCUAAAGUUUGGCGAGCGUGUUUUAUAUUUCGUUCGGAACUUGUCAACAAGCAGAAAAAAAACGCGAAAGGAUUCCACGUCGUCGGAGAUCGAAUCCAUCGAACGGGGAUAGAUCGCCGCCUCGUCCAUUCGUUUCCCAAGAGUUUCGAUAAAUCGGCUUCGCAUGCUUCGCAAAGUAUCGGAAAUAUCUGCAGAUCAUCCAAGGAGCAGCACGCGGAUAAAAUGCAGUAGCGACGCGACUCACGAAUAGCAGCUACCGGGGGACCUCCAAUCGUACGGAGGUCAAGGGAGUAGUGGUGCGAAGGAAGUAGUCCGAGCUGGUCAGCUUUGGAGCAGUACAGCCAAGUUGGCAUAGGCCAACUUAGGAGAAACGAGGCAGAAUGGCGACGAUAGAUGGGCGGCCCGCCCAAUAUGGCAUCACUCUCAAACAGCUUAGGGAGCUCAUGGAACAUCGAGGGCGCGAAGGUGUCAAUAAAAUUAAUGGCUACGGGGGAGUUCAGGAAAUUUGUAAAAAAUUGUAUACCUCGCCCAGCGAAGGCCUCAGCGGAUCGACGGCGGAUAUACAACACAGGCGAGACACAUUCGGUUCAAACAUGAUACCUCCGAAACCACCAAAAACAUUUUUACAAUUAGUGUGGGAAGCGUUGCAAGAUGUUACUUUAAUCAUUCUCGAAAUAGCCGCAUUGGUUUCGUUAGGUCUUAGCUUCUAUCAACCAAAGGAUGACGAUGACGACGAAAUUGUCGUCGGUCAUCUGGACGAGGACGAGGGUAAAUACGGUUGGAUCGAGGGCCUCGCGAUCCUUAUAUCUGUAAUAGUAGUGGUCAUAGUUACGGCAUUCAACGACUACUCCAAAGAACGACAAUUUCGAGGUCUUCAAAAUCGAAUAGAAGGAGAACACAAGUUUUCCGUAAUUCGGCAAGGAGAAGUUAAACAAAUCUCUGUGUCGGACAUCGUCGUGGGCGAUAUAUGUCAGAUAAAAUACGGUGAUUUGUUACCCGCCGAUGGUAUUCUUAUACAGAGCAACGACCUCAAAGUGGAUGAAUCCAGUUUGACGGGAGAAUCGGACCACGUUAAGAAGGGUGAAGCGUUUGAUCCUAUGGUGCUAUCGGGUACACACGUGAUGGAAGGCUCGGGUAAGAUGUUGGUCGCUGCGGUUGGCGUCAACUCGCAGGCCGGCAUCAUCUUUACUCUCUUGGGUGCAGCGGUCGACCAGCAAGAGCAAGAAAUCAAGAAAAUGAAGAAGGAGGCUAAAAAGCAGCGGAAGAAGAAGUCUCUAUCAGGCGACGAGGUUGGAGAAAUAACUGGCAACAGUCACACGAGUGGAGGAGCUAAACACGAAGGUGGAGAAAAUCAUCACGCCCCAGCAGCAUCCAGUGGCGGUGGAGGCCACGAAUCGAAAAAAGAAAAGAGCGUGUUGCAGGCCAAGUUGACGAAACUCGCGAUACAAAUUGGCUACGCUGGCUCGACGAUCGCCGUUCUUACAGUCGUUAUACUAGUCAUACAAUUCUGCAUAACGAAUUUCGUUAUACACCAAAGAGCAUGGAAAAGCAAGUAUGCCGGAAAUCUCGUACGCCAUCUGAUUAUCGGUGUGACCGUACUCGUCGUUGCCGUACCGGAAGGUCUUCCUCUAGCUGUCACACUCUCCCUCGCCUAUUCCGUCAAGAAAAUGAUGAAGGACAACAAUUUGGUGCGUCAUUUGGACGCUUGCGAGACGAUGGGUAACGCAACGGCCAUAUGCUCGGACAAAACCGGCACCCUGACGACCAAUCGGAUGACAGUCGUACAAUCGUAUCUGUGCGAAAAAUUGAGUAAAACGAUACCGUCGUUCGCGGAAAUACCUAAUCACGUUGGUAACCUGUUGAUUCAAUCGAUAUCGAUUAACUCGGCGUACACGUCCAGAAUAAUGCCCGGGCAAGAUCCUACCGAUUUGCCGAUGCAAGUCGGUAACAAAACCGAAUGUGCCUUACUUGGAUUCGUAAUUGCCCUGGGCAAAAAUUAUCAAACAUUGAGGGAUGACCAACCGGAGGAAACAUUUACGCGGGUAUACACGUUCAACAGCGUUAGAAAGAGUAUGUCGACGGUGAUACCGCGACAGGGAGGUGGUUACAGACUCUUCACCAAGGGCGCUUCCGAGAUCAUCAUGAAGAAAUGUGCCUUUAUUUAUGGUCGCGACGGAAAUUUGGAAAAAUUCACGCGAGACAUGCAAGAUCGUCUCGUUAAGAACGUGAUCGAGCCGAUGGCGUGUAACGGAUUACGUACAAUAUCAAUCGCGUAUCGUGACUUUGUACCUGGUAAAGCGGAGAUAAAUCAGGUUCACAGCGAGAACGAGCCAAACUGGGAGGACGAGGAUAAUAUCGUUUGUAAUUUGACUUGUUUGGGAAUAGUGGGUAUCGAGGAUCCGGUCAGACCCGAGGUACCGGAUGCCAUAAGGAAAUGUCAAAAAGCCGGCAUUACCGUCCGAAUGGUUACGGGAGAUAACGUCAAUACGGCGCGUUCGAUUGCCCAAAAAUGUGGUAUAUUCAAGCCGAACGAAGACUGGCUCAUACUGGAGGGUAAAGAAUUUAACAGGAGAAUAAGGGAUAGCAAUGGCGAGGUGCAGCAACAUUUGCUCGACAAAGUAUGGCCAAAAUUGAGGGUACUCGCGAGAUCAUCGCCAACUGACAAAUACACUCUGGUUAAGGGAAUGAUCGACAGUAAAGUAUCGGCAUCCAGGGAAGUCGUCGCCGUAACCGGUGACGGUACAAACGACGGUCCGGCGUUGAAGAAAGCCGACGUUGGUUUUGCCAUGGGUAUCGCCGGUACGGACGUUGCCAAGGAAGCAUCCGACAUUAUACUCACCGAUGACAAUUUUUCCUCGAUAGUCAAAGCCGUUAUGUGGGGUCGUAACGUUUACGAUAGCAUAGCCAAAUUCUUGCAAUUUCAACUUACCGUCAACGUUGUUGCCGUCAUCGUUGCGUUCAUCGGCGCUUGCGCCGUACAAGAUUCACCACUCAAAGCCGUACAAAUGUUGUGGGUUAAUUUAAUUAUGGACACUCUAGCCUCACUCGCACUCGCCACCGAAUUACCGACCCCCGAUCUUCUACUUCGCAAACCUUAUGGACGCACGAAACCGCUUAUAUCACGAACCAUGAUGAAGAACAUACUUGGUCAGGCCGUUUAUCAGUUGGUCGUUAUUUUUACGCUUCUAUUCAAAGGCCACGAUAUGCUCAACAUCGAUACGGGACUCGGAGUUGCGGAGCAGGGUGGCGGCGCGACCCAGCACUUUACAAUCAUAUUCAACACAUUCGUCAUGAUGACCGUGUUCAACGAAUUUAAUGCAAGAAAAAUUCAUGGUCAGCGCAAUGUCUUCCAGGGAAUCUUCACGAAUCCCAUAUUUUAUUCGAUUUGGAUCGGAACCUGCUUGUCUCAAGUAUUCAUCAUUCAGUACGGUAAAAUGGCGUUCAGCACAAAAGCUCUGGAUCUUGAUCAGUGGAUGUGGUGUCUCUUCUUCGGGAUUGGUACGCUACUGUGGGGCCAAGUAGUCACGUGUAUUCCGACCCGCAAGAUACCCAAGAUCCUUUCAUGGGGCCGCGGCCAGCCGGAUGAUAUCGGUGCUAUCAAUCUAGGAGACGAGAAUUACGAUCCAGACUCGGAUAAAAAGCCGCGGGCAGGACAAAUUCUGUGGAUUCGUGGUCUUACGCGGCUACAGACUCAGACGAGCAAUAGAACUCUGGUGCAGAAUGUAUCUGUGACAGGCAGAUCCCCCUCUCAGGAUUACUAUAUGCCAGCGGAACCCAUACGUGAGACUGAGGUAUAACAGAGCGGCAGUCUUGCCCGUCGCCAUACUUUUCCUGUCGGAGUACAAACAACUUCGAGUAAUCAGAGCAUUCAGGUCGAAUCUGGAAGAUCUGGAGGAACGUCGUUCUGUCCAUAGUUUACACAGCUUGCACAGUAUGAGAAGUUCGAGAAGUCACACCGGACCUAGACCAUUGUCCG